GAACAUCUUUGGUGAAUCUUCUUUCAUCGGAGGGACAUAAAUCUCUCAGAUUUUUAUUAAAAUAUCUCAGCUUUUCUUUUGAAGAUGAACGAAAGUCUUAGAUGGUUUGGAGCAUCUUAAGGGUGAGUGAUGACAGAAUUCAAAUUGUUUUGGGGGAACUAUGAAAUUAAUUAGAAAAUAUAGCGGUAUGUUCUUAUUUUUACCAGCUUCUGCAAGCGCGUAUGGCGUCUGGCUUUUGGAACCUCACUGUGACUUCAGAUAAGAACAAAGAUUAAAUUGUAAGAAGGGUUGCUUAUAUGAGAGCAUACAGUACAUCUGAAACUGCUGAGGCUGGGAAGGCUUUUGACUAUAUUACCGACCAGAUCAGCUGCUAUAGAAGACAAACUGAAAUCUGAGUGCAGAGACAAGCAAAGGAAUACUGCAAGGCUCUGGUGCAAAAUAUUGUAUGCCAGGAGUCAGGACGACUAGGCUGUGCCCAGGUCUCCAGAACCUGCGACGACGCUCAGCUCCAUCAGCCCUCCAUCUGCGCCUUCGGAUCCACCAGCUCUGUCUCCAUCGGUCGGCCCCCAGAUGUUGGCAGCCACACCAUCUACAUCUUGGCUCCUCGCUCCCUCGAUUCCGCCGUGUGUUGUCAGCACUGGGAUGCUCUGGGUCUGUGCCAUGUGCCAAACACCAUCUAAGCUGCCAGGGC